rnacentral:rRNA from 1 species
UGGGGAAUAUUGCGCAAUGGGCGAAAGCCUGACGCAGCAACGCCGCGUGAGUGAUGAAGGCCUUCGGGUCGUAAAGCUCUGUCGGAGGGAACGAAUGCUCCUGAAGUUAACAGCCUCAGGAGGUGACGGUACCCUCAAAGGAAGCACCGGCUAACUCUGUGCCAGCAGCCGCGGUAAUACAGAGGGUGCAAACGUUGUUCGGAAUUACUGGGCAUAAAGCGCGCGUAGGCGGCGACGUAAGUGUAGGGUGAAAUCCCACGGCUCACCCGUGUGAAUUGCCCCGCAUACUGCGUUGCUUGAGUGUGGUAGGGGAGAGCGGAACUCCUGGCGGAGCGGUGAAAUGCGUAGAUAUCAGGAGGAACACCGGUGGCGUAGGCGGCUCUCUGGUCCAUAACUGACGCUGAAGUGCGAAAGCUAGGGUAGCGAACGGGAUUAGAUACCCCGGUAGUCCCUGAGCGGGCUGGCAAGGCGCAU